rnacentral:rRNA from 1 species
UCUAGAGAUUGGCGGACGGGUGAGUAACGCGUACACGACCUACCUCUGACAGGGGGAUAGCCCUGGGAAACUGGGAUUAAUACCGCAUAUUAUUCUGAUUAAUAAAGGAUUGGAAUGAAAGUUCAGGCGGUCAGAGAUGGGUGUGCGUCUGAUUAGCUAGUUGGUAGGGUAACGGCCUACCAAGGCGAUGAUCAGUAGGGGGCGUGAGAGCGUGAUCCCCCACACGGGUACUGAGACACGGACCCGACUCCUACGGGAGGCAGCAGUAAGGAAUAUUGGACAAUGGCCGCAAGGCUGAUCCAGCCAUCCAGCGUGCAGGAAGAAGGCCCUAUGGGUUGUAAACUGCUUUUAUCAGGGAAUAAACCUCUGGAUUCACUCCGGAGCUGAAGGUACCUGAAGAAUAAGCACCGGCUAACUCCGUGCCAGCAGCCGCGAAUCGUCGAC